CGGCGCGCAGCAAUGACGUUAAUGUCAGGGCCAUUGCCACACGCGUGUUCGCCGUGGGGCGGCACGGGAUAACUGGGGGGCUGCGUGCCGCGUCCCGACAGACCAGCAAGUACCAGAAGACGGUGUACCAGGAGUAAACUGAAGCAUGAAUAUCCAUCUGCUCACCAGUACCUGCCUGCCUACGUUGCACUUGCCAUUCAGUGGAAGAGGGGUUCCAUGUUAGCAACUGGAGUAUCUUUCUGUCUUGGGUCCCAUACCUUCACAGUUCCUGUGAAAGAAGGACAACGGAUUUUGUAUUAUGGAGACGCUGUCACGUUGCAUUCAUAUUCCCAGGGAAGGCCUUUGCUUUUC